rnacentral:rRNA from 1 species
AGUGAACGCUGGCGGCAGGCCUAACACAUGCAAGUCGAGCGGCAGCGCGGGGGCAACCCUGGCGGCGAGCGGCGGACGGGUGAGAAAUUCGUCGGAAUCUGCCUUUUUGUGGGGGAUAACGUAGGGAAACUUACGCUAAUACCGCAUACGUCCUACGGGAGAAAGUGGGGGACCGCAAGGCCUCACGCAGAAAGAUGAGCCGACGACCGAUUAGCUAGUUGGUGGGGUAAAGGCCCACCAAGGCGACGAUCGGUAGCUGGUCUGAGAGGAUGAUCAGCCACACUGGGACUGAGACACGGCCCAGACUCCUACGGGAGGCAGCAGUGGGGAAUAUUGGACAAUGGGCGCAAGCCUGAUCCAGCCAUGCCGCGUGUGUGAAGAAGGCCUUCGGGUUGUAAAGCACUUUUGUCCGGAAAGAAAUCCCUGGAGCUAAUACCUUCGGGGGAUGACGGUACCGGAAGAAUAAGCACCGGCUAACUUCGUG